GAUGAACGCUGGCGGCGUGCCUAAUACAUGCAAGUCGAGCGAACAGAUGAGGAGCUUGCUCCUCUGACGUUAGCGGCGGACGGGUGAGUAACACGUGGAUAACCUACCUAUAAGACUGGGAUAACUUCGGGAAACCGGAGCUAAUACCGGAUAAUAUAUUGAACCGCAUGGUUCAAUAGUGAAAGACGGUUUUGCUGUCACUUAUAGAUGUAUCCGCGCCGCAUUAGCUAGUUGGUAAGGUAACGGCUUACCAAGGCAACGAUGCGUAGCCGACCUGAGAGGGUGAUCGGCCACACUGGAACUGAGACACGGUCCAGACUCCUACGGGAGGCAGCAGUAGGGAAUCUUCCGCAAUGGGCGAAAGCCUGACGGAGCAACGCCGAGUGAGUGAUGACGGUCUUCGGAUCGUAAAACUCUGUUAUUAGGGAAGAACAAAUGUGUAAGUAACUAUGCACGUCUUGACGGUACCUAAUCAGAAAGCCACGGCUAACUACGUG
rnacentral:rRNA from 1 species